UCAUAAGAUGGGGACGUUAAGCAUGCAGCAACUACAGUCAUUUGUUCUCAGAGGUCUGGACCAAAGAGAAACAAGAAAAGCUGGAGUCACACUACCAAAGGCCGAAGCUGAGCAACAGAGCUCUGGAGUCAGCUGCCUGGGUUCAGCAUGCAGCACUGCCGUGGACGAUCUGUCUCUCUUGCAUAUAUGACUUACCAGUUUUACUUUCAGGCUCUCCAUUUCUAAUUAAACGAGAUGCAGAAA
rnacentral:lncRNA from 1 species